AUUGAACGCUGGCGGCAUGCUUUACACAUGCAAGUCGAACGAGUGGCGAACGGGUGAGUAAUAUAUCGGAACGUACCGAGUAAUGGGGUAGAACCAAUCGAAAUAUUGGCUAAUACCGCAUAGUGUUCGAGCGGCCGAUAACUGAUUAGCAAGGUGGGGGGGUGAAGGCCUACCAAGGCGACGAUCAGUAGCGGGUCUGAGAGGACGAUCCGCCACACUGGGAGUGAGACACGGCCCAGACUCCUACGGGAGGCAGCAGUGGGGAAUUUUGGACAAUGGGGGCAACCCUGAUCCAGCCAUGCCGCGUGUAUGAAGAAGGCCUUCGGGUUGUAAAGUACUUUUGUUAGGGAAGCGGUACCUAAAGAAUAAGCACCGGCUAACUACGUGCCAGCCGCCGCGGUAAUAC
rnacentral:rRNA from 1 species